rnacentral:rRNA from 1 species
UGGGCAACCUGCCCCCGGCUCUGGGAUAACUCCAAGAAAUUGGGGCUAAUACCGGAUGUGACCGCUGACCGCAUGGUCUGGUGGUGGAAAGAUUUAUCGGCUGGGGAUGGGCCCGCGGCCUAUCAGCUUGUUGGUGGGGUAGUGGCCUACCAAGGCGACGACGGGUAGCCGGCCUGAGAGGGUGACCCGGCCACACUGGGACUGAGACACGGCCCAGACUCCGUACGGGAG